GAUGAAGAACGUAGCGAAAUGCGAUAAGUAAUGUGAAUUGCAGAAUUCAGUGAAUCAUCGAAUCUUUGAACGCACAUUGCGCCCGCUAGUAUUCUGGCGGGCAUGCCUGUCCGAGCGUCAUUUCAACCCUCAAGCCCCCGGGCUUGGUGUUGGGGAUCGGCGAGCCUCCGCGCCCGCCGUCCCCUAAAUCUAGUGGCGGUCUCGCUGUAGCUUCCUCUGCGUAGUAGCACACCUCGCACUGGGAAACAGCGCGGCCACGCCGUUAAACCCCCAACUUCUGAACGUUUGACCUCGGAUCAGGUAGGAAUACCCGCUGAACUUAAGCAUAUCCAAUAAGCGGAGGA
rnacentral:misc_RNA from 1 species